rnacentral:rRNA from 1 species
GUUCCAGGUAAAUCCGGUUCACUUUAACACUGAGGCGUGAUGACGAGGCACUACGGUGCUGAAGCAACAAAUGCCCUGCUUCCAGGAAAAGCCUCUAAGCAUCAGGUAACAUCAAAUCGUACCCCAAACCGACACAGGUGGUCAGGUAGAGAAUACCAAGGCGCUUGAGAGAACUCGGGUGAAGGAACUAGGCAAAAUGGUGCCGUAACUUCGGGAGAAGGCACGCUGACACGUAGGUGAAGUGAUUUACUCAUGGAGCUGAAGUCAGUCGAAGAUACCAGCUGGCUGCAACUGUUUAUUAAAAACACAGCACUGUGCAAACACGAAAGUGGACGUAUACGGUGUGACGCCUGCCCGGUGCCGGAAGGUUAAUUGAUGGGGUCAGCGCAAGCGAAGCUCCUGAUCGAAGCCCCGGUAAACGGCGGCCGUAACUAUAACGGUCCUAAGGUAGCGAAAUUCCUUGUCGGGUAAGUUCCGACCUGCACGAAUGGCGUAAUGAUGGCCAGGCUGUCUCCACCCGAGACUCAGUGAAAUUGAACUCGCUGUGAAGAUGCAGUGUACCCGCGGCAAGACGGAAAGACCCCGUGAACCUUUACUAUAGCUUGACACUGAACAUUGAGCCUUGAUGUGUAGGAUAGGUGGGAGGCUUUGAAGUGUGGACGCCAGUCUGCAUGGAGCCGACCUUGAAAUACCACCCUUUAAUGUUUGAUGUUCUAACGUGGACCCGUGAUCCGGGUUGCGGACAGUGUCUGGUGGGUAGUUUGACUGGGGCGGUCUCCUCCUAAAGAGUAACGGAGGAGCACGAAGGUUGGCUAAUCCUGGUCGGACAUCAGGAGGUUAGUGCAAUGGCAUAAGCCAGCUUGACUGCGAGCGUGACGGCGCGAGCAGGUGCGAAAGCAGGUCAUAGUGAUCCGGUGGUUCUGAAUGGAAGGGCCAUCGCUCAACGGAUAAAAGGUACUCCGGGGAUAACAGGCUGAUACCGCCCAAGAGUUCAUAUCGACGGCGGUGUUUGGCACCUCGAUGUCGGCUCAUCACAUCCUGGGGCUGAAGUAGGUCCCAAGGGUAUGGCUGUUCGCCAUUUAAAGUGGUACGCGAGCUGGGUUUAGAACGUCGUGAGACAGUUCGGUCCCUAUCUGCCGUGGGCGCUGGAGAACUGAGGGGGGCUGCUCCUAGUACGAGAGGACCGGAGUGGACGCAUCACUGGUGUUCGGGUUGUCAUGCCAAUGGCACUGCCCGGUAGCUAAAUGCGGAAGAGAUAAGUGCUGAAAGCAUCUAAGCACGAAACUUGCCCCGAGAUGAGUUCUCCCUGAGACUUUAGGUCUCCUGAAGGAACGUUGAAGACGACGACGUUGAUAGGCCGGGUGUGUAAGCGCAGCGAUGCGUUGAGCUAACCGGUACUAAUGAACCGUGAGGCUUAACCUUACA